ACUGGUGCCAGCCGCCGCGGUAACACCAGCGCCCCGAGUGGGAACCAUGUUUAUUGGGUCUAAAGCGUCCGUAGCCGGUUAGCUAAGUCCUUUGUGAAAUGAUCGGGCUUAACCCGAUCACGUGCAGGGGAUACUGACUAACUAGGGACCGGGAGGCGUCAGGGGUAUUCUGAGGGGAGCGGUAAAAUGCUUUAAUCCUCAGAGGACCACCUGUGGCGAAGGCGCCUGACGAGAACGGAUCCGACGGUGAGGGACUAAAGCUAAGGGAGCAAUCCGGAUUAGAUACAAGAAAUUUCCCAAAGAAAUUUCGGUACAAGCAAGAAAAGUUUGCUGUUAAAAACUACGUUUUCUUGUAAAGACCGAAAAAAGGUAUGGAAUUUUCUUGCUAAGUACCCGAGUAGUCUUAGCCGUAAACGCUGUCAGUUAGGUGUUGCACAUUCUCCGUGGAUGUGCAGUGUCGUAGUGAAGACGUUAAACUGACCACCUGGGAAGUACGGUCGCAAGGCUGAAACUUAAAGGAAUUGGCGGGGGAGCACUACAAGGGGUGCGGCGUGCGGUUUAAUCUAAUUCAACGCAGAGAAUCUCACCAGAGGCGACGGCAGGAUGAAGGUCAGUCUAAAGGGCUUACCUGACGAGCCGAGAGGUAGUGCAUGGCCGCCGUCAGCUCGUGCCGUAAGGUGUCCUGUUAAGUCAGGUAACGAGCGAGACCUGUGCUUACAAUUGCUAACAGCAAAAUUUUUGGACUGAGCACAUUGUAAGGACUGCCAUGGAAACGUGGAGGAAGGUGCAGGCAACGGUAGGUCUGUAUGCUCCGAAUCCUCUGGGCUACACGCGCGCAACAAUGGUAACGACAAUGGGCUGCAACCCCGAGAGGGGAAGCUAAUCCUCGAAACGUUAUCUCAGUUCAGAUUGUGGGCUGUAAGUCGCCCACAUGACGUUGGAAUCCCUAGUAAUCAGACGUCAACAUCGUCUGGUGAAUAUGUCCCUGCUCCUUGCACACACCGCCCGUCAAACCACCUGAGUAGGGUCUAGAUGAGGCCUCAUUUGUAAUGAGUUCGAAUCUAGGCUUUGCGAGGAGGGUUAAGUCGUCACAAGGUAGCCGUAGGGGAACCUGCGGCUG
rnacentral:rRNA from 1 species